AACGAACGCUGGCGGCAUGCCUAACACAUGCAAGUCGAACGAGACCUUCGGGUCUAGUGGCGCACGGGUGCGUAACGCGUGGGAACCUGCCCUUAGGUUCGGCAUAACUCCCCGAAAGGGGUGCUAAUACCGGAUAAUGUCUUCGGCCCAAAGAUUUAUCGCCUUUGGAUGGGCCCGCGUUGGAUUAGCUAGUUGGUAGGGUAAAAGCCUACCAAGGCGACGAUCCAUAGCUGGUCUGAGAGGAUGAUCAGCCACACUGGGACUGAGACACGGCCCAGACUCCUACGGGAGGCAGCAGUGGGGAAUAGUGGACAAUGGGCGAAAGCCUGAUCCAGCAAUGCCGCGUGAGUGAUGAAGGCCUUAGGGUUGUAAAGCUCUUUUACCCGGGAUGAUAAUGACAGUACCGGGAGAAUAAGCUCCGGCUAACUCCGUG
rnacentral:rRNA from 1 species